AACAGUCUACUCUCUAAGAAAUUAGAGAGAUAUUUAAAAAGAAGAGAAAUUAAAAAUCUCAAUUUCUCUCUAAUUUCUCUUCUCUUUCUCAUUUUUAUUGAUGGAUGGUUAGAAACUUAGGAGCACAAAGACUGCUGUGCUCCUAAUAGCACAGUAGUUCUGCUUUCUCUUUCUCUCUCUCUAUAUAUAUAGCCUGGCUAUGGUACUUGCAAAAGCACAAAACACUUGGUGAUUGUAAGUUUUUUGCUGUUGGAUCUACCCCUCUGAUUAUUUUCACCUAUUAGAUCAUACUAUUUAACCAACCAUCCACUCAAUCUUAGGAAACCACAAUAAUUCUAACCGCACAUCCCUUCAUUCAAGAGCUGAAAACUUGCAAGUACUAAUGACUUAGUUCUUUUAAAAGGAUAGGAGAUCAAUUUUAUAUAUAUAUAAAUAUAUAUAUAUAUAUAUAUAUAUAUAUAUAUAUAUAUAUAUAUAUAUAUAUAUAUAUAUAUAGUUUGACUGGGCUACUAUCGGCAGUAAACUGCUCGGUUUACUACCGAUUUAUUUUUGAUGAUAGAGCUUCCAAAUCGACAAUCGGCACUGUUGAAUAUGAUCUAGACCAUUUAAAUUAUCUAGAAAUCAAAUUUCAUGAUUUUUUGGCAUCACUAACUGAACGAUCAAAGGGUCACAAAAUCUAUAAUUUUAAUGGCCGAUAUGGUGCGUUUGCUCGUUUAACGGUAUAGAAGAGUUCAAAUCAAUUAAUUUUUUGUAAAAACAUUCUUUAAACUAUUUAAAAUAAGAUCUAAACUCUAGAUCUCAAAUAUAAAAAUUGUAUCAUCACUUUUUGAAGGAUGUUCAUUUCCAGCCAUUCAUUUUUCUGUUCACUUGAUGGACAAGACAACAAUAUCGAAAAUGUGUGAAAUUUAAUUUCCAGAUAGUUUAAAUAGUCACUACAACAAAAACGGUCUAUAACGACACUUUUAAAUGACGGUACUGGUCAAAAAACGUGUUGCUGGCUAAAUUACCGACACUUUUAAAAAGUGUUGCUAUAUGUGGGGUCGCUAGGUAUAUAGUGACAGUUAAAGAGUGUCGCUAUAAUCUAAAAAAGUGCUGCUAAUUUACCAACACUUAUUUAAGCAUUUAGCAACCACCGAAACUCUAUCUCGUUGGCUGUGGUGGCGGAGGAAGACGAGAGGGAAGGGCUUUUCGUCUAGGAUUUCAGUGAAUUGAGUGAGAGGAGGAGAUAUGGUAAUCGAUUUUUUUUUUCUUUUUUAUUUGCAAUCGGACCGAAUGGGUUAGGUGGGGUGGGUUAAGUAGAGUAACCUUUUAUUUUUGGUUGGAUUGGGCUUUAUAUUUAGACAUUAGUAGGUUUUUUUUAAGUUUUGGUAUAAAUGUGACACUUACACAAAAGUGUCCCAAACAUGUGUCCCUAUAACCUAAUUCUGUUGUAGUGAGUUUAUAUCAUGUUUAACGGUGCCGAUCAUCAAUUUGGAAGCUCUAUCAUCGAAAACAAAUCGGUAGUAAACCGAGCAGUUUACUACCGAUAGUAGCCCAGUCAAACUCUCUCUCUCUCUCUCUCUCUCUCUCUCUCUCUCUCUCUCUCUAUAUAUAUAUAUAUAUAUCCAUAGAGUCCGGCUACUAUACUCUUAUAAGUAUAGAGCCUCUUGUACUCAUAAGUUUUUGCCGUUAGAUAUACCAUUUAAUCAUUUUUAUCCAUUAGAUUAUACUAUUCAACCAACCACCCACUCAACCCUAAGGGGCCCACUAUCAACUUAACCGUAACCACUUUCAUCCUAACCGCAUAUUUUUUUCAUCUGAACGGCUGAAAACUUAUGAAUACAAAAGGCUCUAUACUCAUAUAAGCAUAAUAGCCCCAGCCUAUAU
rnacentral:lncRNA from 1 species